rnacentral:rRNA from 1 species
AUUGAACGCUGGCGGCAUGCCUUACACAUGCCAGUCGAACGGUAACAGGUCUUCGGAUGCUGACGAGUGGCGGACGGGGGAGUAAUACAUCGAAACGUGCACGAUCGUGGUGGAUAACGGAGCAAAAGCUUUACUAAUACCUCAUACGAUCUGCGGAUUAAAGCAGGGGACCUCAAAGCCGUGCGCGGACGUAGCUGCCGAUGGCAGAUGAGGUAGUUGGUGGGAUAACAGCUUACCAAGCCGACGAUCUGUAGCUGGUCUGAGAGGAGGAGCAGCCACACUGGGACUGAGACACGGCCCAGACUCCUACGGGAGGCAGCAGUGGGGAAUUUUGGACAAUGGGCGAAAGCCUGAUCCAGCAACGCCGCGUGAAGGAUGAAGGCCUUCGGGUUGUAAAAUGCUUUUGUACGGAACGAACAGAUUCUUUAUAAUCAAGAGGGUCCAUGACGGUACCGUAAGAAUAAGCCCCGGCUAACUACGUG